UACGUAGGGUGCGAGCGUUAAUCGGAAUUACUGGGCGUAAAGCGUGCGCAGGCGGUUUUGUAAGCCAGAUGUGAAAUCCCCGGGCUUAACCUGGGAAUGGCAUUUGGGACUGCAAGGCUGGAGUUUGGCAGAGGAGACUGGAAUUCCCGGUGUAGCAGUGAAAUGCGUAGAUAUCGGGAGGAAUACCGAUGGCGAAGGCAGGUCUCUGGGCAUUAACUGACGCUGAGGAGCGAAAGCAUGGGGAGCGAACAGG
rnacentral:rRNA from 1 species